GACAUAGGUGGCGAACGUUAUCCGGAAUUAUUGGGCGUAAAGAGUGCGUAGGUGGUUUAAUAAGUUACUGGUGGGAAAUCGGGGCCCAACCCCGUGGAAGUCAGUAAUACUAUUAAACUAGAGGGUUGGAGAGGUUAACGGAAUUCUAUGUGUAGCGGUAAAAUGCGUAAAUAUAUAGAGGAACACCAAACGGCGAAGGCAGUUAACUAUUCAAUUCCUGACGUUGAGGCACGAAAGCGUGGGGAGCAAGACGG
rnacentral:rRNA from 1 species